GAUGAACGCUGGCCGCGUGCCUAAUACAUGCAAGUCGAGCGAACAGACGAGGAGCUUGCUCCUCUGACGUUAGCGGCGGACGGGUGAGUAACACGUGGAUAACCUACCUAUAAGACUGGGAUAACUUCGGGAAACCGGAGCUAAUACCGGAUAAUAUAUUGAACCGCAUGGUUCAAUAGUGAAAGACGGUUUUGCUGUCACUUAUAGAUGGAUCCGCGCCGCAUUAGCUAGUUGGUAAGGUAACGGCUUACCAAGGCGACGAUGCGUAGCCGACCUGAGAGGGUGAUCGGCCACACUGGAACUGAGACACGGUCCAGACUCCUACGGGAGGCAGCAGUAGGGAAUCUUCCGCAAUGGGCGAAAGCCUGACGGAGCAACGCCGCGUGAGUGAUGAAGGUCUUCGGAUCGUAAAACUCUGUUAUUAGGGAAGAACAAAUGUGUAAGUAACUAUGCACGUCUUGACGGUACCUAAUCAGAAAGCCACGGCUAACUACGUG
rnacentral:rRNA from 1 species